rnacentral:rRNA from 1 species
GACAGAGGGUGCAAACGUUGUUCGGAAUUACUGGGCAUAAAGCGCACGUAGGUGGUCCGCUAAGUCGCGUGUGAAAUCCCCCGGCUCAACCGGGGAAAUGCGCGUGAUACUGGCGGGCUUGAGAUCGGGAGGGGUGAAUGGAACUCCAGGUGGAGCGGUGAAAUGCGUAGAGAUCGGGAGGAACAUCAGUUGCGAAGGCGGCUCUCUGGACCAGCACUGACACUGAGGCACGAAAGCGUGGGGAGCAAACAGG